ACCCGCUGAACUUAAGCAUAUCAAUAAGCGGAGGAAAAGAAACCAACAGGGAUUGCCCUAGUAACGGCGAGUGAAGCGGCAACAGCUCAAAUUUGAAAUCUGGCGCAAGCCCGAGUUGUAAUUUGUAGAGGAUGCUUCUGGGCAGCGGCCGGUCUAAGUUCCUUGGAACAGGACGUCACAGAGGGUGAGAAUCCCGUAUGUGAUCGGUUGGCACCCGCUACGUAGCUCCUUCGACGAGUCGAGUUGUUUGGGAAUGCAGCUCUAAAUGGGAGGUAAAUGCCUUCUAAAGCUAAAUACCGGCCAGAGACCGAUAGCGCACAAGUAGAGUGAUCGAAAGAUGAAAAGCACUUUGGAAAGAGAGUUAAAAAGCACGUGAAAUUGUUGAAAGGGAAGCGCAUGCAACCAGACUUGUCCGCGGUGUUCCGCCGGUCUUCUGACCGGUCUACUCGCCGCGGGCAGGCCAGCAUCAUCUGGGAGCGCCGGAUAAAGGUAGCGGGAAUGUGGCCCCUCGGGGUGUUAUAGCUCGCUACACAAUACGGCGCCUCCCGGGUGAGGUCCGCGCUUCGGCUAGGAUGCUGGCGUAAUGGUUGUAUGCGGCCCGUCUUGAAACACGGACCAAGGAGUCUACCAUCUAUGCGAGUGUUCGGGUGUCAAACCCCUACGCGCAAUGAAAGUGAACGGAGGUGGGAACCGCAAGGUGCACCAUCGACCGAUCCUGAUGUCUUCGGAUGGAUUUGAGUAAGAGCAUAGCUGGUGGGACCCGAAAGAUGGUGAACUAUGCCUGAAUAGGGUGAAGCCAGAGGAAACUCUGGUGGAGGCUCGCAGCGGUUCUGACGUGCAAAUCGAUCGUCAAAUUUGGGUAUAGGGGCGAAAGACUAAUCGAACCAUCUAGUAGCUGGUUCCUGCCGAAGUUUCCCUCAG
rnacentral:rRNA from 1 species